GUAUACGGCCAUACCACCCUGAACGAGCCUGAUCUCGUCUGAUCUUGGAAGCUAAGCAGGGUCGGGCCUGGUUAGUACUUGGAUGGGAGACCACCUGGGAAUACCGGGUGCUGUAGGCU
ensembl:rRNA 5S_rRNA 5S ribosomal RNA